rnacentral:rRNA from 1 species
UCCUACGGGAGGUAGCAGUGGGGAAUAUUGGACAAUGGGGGGAACCCUGAUCCAGCCAUGCCGCGUGUGUGAAGAAGGCCCUCGGGUUGUAAAGCACUUUCAGCGAGGAAGAACGCCUAGCGGUUAAUACCCGCUAGGAAAGACAUCACUCGCAGAAGAAGCACCGGCUAACUCCGUGCCAGCAGCCGCGGUAAUACGGAGGGUGCAAGCGUUAAUCGGAAUUACUGGGCGUAAAGCGCGCGUAGGUGGCUUGAUAAGCCGGUUGUGAAAGCCCCGGGCUCAACCUGGGAACGGCAUCCGGAACUGUCAAGCUAGAGUGCAGGAGAGGAAGGUAGAAUUCCCGGUGUAGCGGUGAAAUGCGUAGAGAUCGGGAGGAAUACCAGUGGCGAAGGCGGCCUUCUGGACUGACACUGACACUGAGGUGCGAAAGCGUGGGUAGCAAACAGGAUUAGAUACCCUGGUAGUCCACGCCGUAAACGAUGUCGACCAGCCGUUGGGUGCCUAGCGCACUUUGUGGCGAAGUUAACGCGAUAAGUCGACCGCCUGGGGAGUACGGCCGCAAGGUUAAAACUCAAAUGAAUUGACGG